CCUUCGCUGGCAAGAAAGUAUAUUUUAGAAAACUUGCGAUUGUAUAAAAGGAUUUUAAGGUAUGAAUCCAUAUUGUUGGAGGAAGUUUUAGGACCGUUGAAGAAUAUAACUUCUAAAGUCACAGCAGCAGCUCUAAGAGACUACUUGGAUGAUCAGGGUGUGAUAUACAGAACAAGGUCAACAAAACAAAACCAAGAGCAAAAACAAAGGAAAAAAAGAGCAAGGUACAAAAGACGUUCCAAAUUGGGUUCCAAUUCAACAGUUAGAAGAAGAAAAAGGACAAGGAGAAAGAAACAAACAAAAAAAACAAAGGAAACCAUAAUGUAUUUCUUGACUACAGUGAACACGCUGUGAGGGUUCACUAGUGUGUUGGUAGACCUGCGUAGAUGUGCGAGACCGGAAACUACUCGUAAAUCAGUGAUGCCAACAUUCACCACACAUGGAGCAGCUGUUAGAACAUGGUGUUGUCCUACAAU